UGAGGAAUCUUCCACAAUGGGGGCAACCCUGAUGGAGCGACACCGCGUGAAGGAAGAAGGCCUAACGGUUGUAAACUUCUUUUCUGAGGGAGCAUAAUGAGAGUACCUCAGGAAUAAGGGACGGCAAAAUACGUGCCAGCAGCCGCGGUAAUACGUAUGUCCCAAGCGUUAUCCGGAAUUACUGGGUGUAAAGGGUUUGUAGGCUGCUUGUUAAGUCGGGUAUGAAAGACCGGAGCUCAACUCCGAGUUUGUAUUGGAAACUGGCAAGCUAGAAUUAGGGAGAGGUAAGCGGAAUUCUAAGUGUAGGGGUGCAAUCCGUAGAUACUUAGAAGAACACCAAAAGCGAAGGCAGCUUACUGGAACUAAAUUGACGCUGAAAAACGAAAGCGUGGGGAGCAAA
rnacentral:rRNA from 1 species